AUCUUCCUUCACGGAUCUCUUUUGCUGUGGGCAGAGCCUGCCGGGAAAGCUAGGAAUAGGAGGUUGUUUGGACAGACACACUACUGGGGAGCUGGAGAGAGGGGUGGAACUCCUCUUCUCUGCUGAGCUCGGGGUGGUGGGAGUGGGGUUGGGCAGGGGGGAGAUAUCUGGGCAGCUGGGGCAAAGGAAAGCCGGGUGGCCAGUUACAUCCCGCUGUGACUGAUCCCCUGUGUGUUCUUGCAGGUGAGAAUGGGGACUUUGAUUUGGCUGAUGCUCUCGAUGACCCCAAGCCCACCAAGAAGCCAAGCUCAGGUAUCUACCCCAACCCGAGGCCCCCCUACCAGCCACAGCCUGGAAAUCCCAACAACGGUGGAAAUAUCUACCCAAGGACAAAGCCACCGCCUCCUCGCCCGCAGCCUGGUAACAGUGGAGGCUUCCUGAGCGACUCGGACCUCAUCGACGGCGGCCGCUACCCGCCCAGGCGUCCCGCAGGAGGCGGCGGUGGCGGGUUCCAGCCGGGGCACGACGGCUACGGAGGCGGCGGUGGCGGGUUCCAGCCGGGGCACGACGGCUACGGUAACAGGCUCGCUUCAUGCAGCGCUGGGGCCCGUGGGGCUGGCGGGGCUGGGUGGGCUUUGCCGGGGCUCCCAUUAGAGCUUCCUCCUGGGUCUCGGGUGUGGGCUGCUUCACUGCUGACCGUCAGCUUGGUUUCGUCCAGGUGUCCAGGGGCUGACCCUACACCCCUCUGUCCAGGUAACAAGACACAGAGCCCCGGGCUGCAAGCUCAUUAGGCAGAGAACAGCCCAGGAAUUGUGGAUUCUUUAUGUAGAUAGUACAUCAUGCCAAGAAAGAAAGGAAUUUACCGCGGGAGUAAGAAACUCCAUUCUUGUCUAUACCGAGCUUUUCGCAAAGCAAGGGGUGGAUCUAGAAAUCUCCAGAGGGUCUCUGGUGCUGUAAAGUGAACUUGGGAGCUAAUUGAGCCAGAAAAGCAAAAGGCACUGGAUCCAUGUUUCUAAACUGAGAUAGAAUCCCCAUGAAACAUUGUACAAAGUAGUCUUGUGAUACUUUGUCAAUAUAGUUGUUGGUGCUCUUUAGUUGCUAAGUCGUCUCUAACUCUUUGCUGCCCCAUGGACUGUAGCCCUCCAGGCUCCUCUGUCCAUGGGAAUCUCCAGGCAAGAAGACUGGAGUGGGUUGCCAUGCCCUCCUCCAGGGGAAUCUUUCUGACCCAGGGAUCGAACCUGGGUCUCCUGCAUUGCAGGAGGAUUCUUUACCAUGUUGAGCACCCAGGGAAUCGCUUUUUAAAAAUUACUCCCUGGGGACUUCCCUGGUGAUCCAGUCAUUAGGACGGUGGGCUCUCACUGGCAGGAUCUGAGAUCAGUGCCUGGUCGGGGAAUUAAAAUCCUGCAUAUCCUGCAUGCAGCCAAAAACACGAAAAAACAAACAAACAAACAAAUUGCCCUCUGGACAGAAGAAGGUGUGGAGAAAGGUCCUUUAUUUCUCAGUCGCUAGAUGACUGUCUGCUGCCUGUGGGGCAUGCUUCCUGGCCUUGGGGACCGGACUUCUCCCUGGACGCGCUGAGAAGUGGGGUUUUGCACUCAGGCAAGCCCCCUCUCUCUGCAGCUGGGGGUCAACGUGCCCCUGGCAUUAGCAGACCUGCUGAACUUGCAAGGUGAGCUCAGCCCGACUCGGUGCGGCCAGGGAAUGUCCGGGGUACGCUUGUCUCUUCCUCUGGCUUGGGGACAAUCUGGGUGGGGCUUUUGCCCGGCUGUCACAGCCUCUGCUUCGGGGUCC
ensembl:lncRNA